AGCGAACGCUGGCGGCAGGCUUAACACAUGCAAGUCGAGCGGGCAUCCUUGUGGUGUCAGCGGCAGACGGGUGAGUAACGCGUGGGAACGUGCCCUUCGGUUCGGAAUAACUCAGGGAAACUUGAGCUAAUACCGGAUACGUGCGAGAGCAGAAAGGUUUAUCUGCCGAAGGAUCGGCCCGCGUCUGAUUAGCUAGUUGGUGAGGUUACUGCUCACCAAGGCGACGAUCAGUAGCUGGUCUGAGAGGAUGAUCAGCCACACUGGGACUGAGACACGGCCCAGACUCCUACGGGAGGCAGCAGUGGGGAAUAUUGGACAAUGGGGGCAACCCUGAUCCAGCCAUGCCGCGUGAGUGAUGACGGCCUUAGGGUUGUAAAGCUCUUUUCUCCGGGACGAUAAUGACGGUACCGGAGGAAUAAGCCCCGGCUAACUUCGUG
rnacentral:rRNA from 1 species